CAGGACGAACGCUGGCGGCGUGCCUAACACAUGCAAGUCGAGCGGAGACAACCAGCCGGAAGGUUCGGCCGGAAGGGUGGAUGUUUUAGCGGCGGACGGGUGAGUAACGCGUGAGCAACCUUCCUUCACAGGGGGAUAAAACACCGAAAGGUGUCCUAAUACCGCAUGAGACCACGGUAUCGCAUGGUACAGGGGUCAAAGGAGCGAUCCGGUGAAGGGUGGGCUCGCGUCCGAUUAGCCAGUUGGCGGGUAACGGCCCACCAAAGCGACGAUCGGUAGCCGACCUGAGAGGGUGAUCGGCCACAUUGGAACUGAGACACGGUCCAAACUCCUACGGGAGGCAGCAGUGGGGAAUAUUGGGCAAUGGGCGAAAGCCUGACCCAGCAACGCCGCGUGAGGGAAGAAGGUCUUCGGGUCGUAAACCUCUGUCCUUGGUGAGGAGGAAGAGACGGUAGCCAAGGAGGAAGCCCCGGCUAACUACGUGCCAGCCGCCGC
rnacentral:rRNA from 1 species